rnacentral:misc_RNA from 1 species
UGUGGGAGCUGGCUUGCCUGCGAUAGCGGUGUAUCAGUCACUUGAUGAACGACUGAAAGAUCGCAAUCGCAGGCAAGCCAGCUCCCACA